AGAUGAGCAGAGGUUAGAGUGAAAGCCUGAAAUGACAAACCCUCCUGGGUUGUGCUGGGGUCUAGGCACAACAGUCCUAUGAAGACAGAGACCAUAAAACCCCUGUGCUUGCAGAGAUCUAAACACGCUAGAAAAUGUUAUCUCCUUGGUACACAGAGGAGGCCCAGACGCAAGGCAUGAACGAGUGAAGAGCCUACAACUGCUUAGCUGGGAGGAUUUAAGAGCACCCAGAACAAGAGAGACUCGGGACCCAUCCAGUAGGUGCCUGUCACUCAUUCUAUCUGCUCAACAGGGAGACGCCUGCCCUGGGUGCCCGUCCACAGAGGAAGGUGAACUCUGACUGUGCCUCCACAUGGGCAUCGGCUGCCCUAAGGAAAAUGACUCAGAGUGAGCAACCUGUAGCUAUUCUGAAAGAAAGUGCUGCAGCAAAAUCCCGGAGGACUGUGAGGAGCCAACACACAGACCACGCAGUGACGCACAGAACAAACACUGAGCGUAGCAUUUAAGACCGAACAUGUCUGCCGGGCAGCAGAUACACACAGAGCAAACCCACCUAGAAGAGUUCAAACGGGUCACAAAGCAAAAUUCAAUAUAUGCUACACACACAUGCCAUGUUUGCAGGUGCAAGGAAGAGGUAGCAAUUUUAACACCAGAAAAGGGAUUUCAGAGCACAAAGAUGAGAUGAGAGUACUUUAGAAUGAUGAAGGGUACAAUUCACUAAAUGUUCAGUAAAACCUGCUUGGAAAAAAACGCAGAAAACCUACAUGGACCUAAUUUUUUAAUUUGGUUUCUUUGGUCAUUAUAAUCUGUUCAGGUUUUCUAUUUAAUUGUUUAAAUCUCCAAAUUUGAAGAUACAGAUGAAUACAUGACUUUCCAAGAAAGACCCCCGGGGCAGACAAUCCCAGCAGAAGUAACAAAGAGUACACUGGGGCAGCUGUCCCCGCACAAAGAACCAGAGCACCUGGCCUGCCUGGGAGGAGCCCCCUGGGCUGCGGCACUGCCCGCAGGAGCAGAGGAAGCUUCCAAACCUCCAUAGAGCCAGCACGCUCUUCCAAGAAACCAACGAGGAGAGCACGCGGGAAGGCAGCAAUCGAUCGGCACCAAGGCUAAGACCUGAAUGAAAUAUUAACUAACAGAAUCCACAGCAAUACACUGCCAACAAGCGGAAUCCACCCAGCUCCUGUGAGCACAAUUCACCUACUAUUGUAACAAACAAGAAAAAACACAUGGUCACUCCCAUGGAUGCUGAAACGAAAUCUGAUGAAAUAUAAUAUUUAUUCCUAAUAAAAAGUCUUUAAAAAAUAGUGACCUAUA